rnacentral:lncRNA from 1 species
CCCCGUCCCGCCCGCCGCCCCAGCCGCCAGGGACAUGUCUAACCUCGGAGGCCGUAGGAACGGGCCUGUCGAAGUGCGCCUGACAGGGACAUGCCACCCCCGUUUUAGGAGAACUUGUAUUUGGUUUGAGAAGGAAUUGGAAUCACGGCGUUAUCCUACCUUCACCAUUUACCCCUGAUAAAUUGUCCACGUUUAUAUUUGGGUGAGUGGUGAGAAAGAUAAUUUUCCGUAGAGGAUUUGUGUGUGCGUGCACAUGUACUAAUAAACUGUAAUUAUAUUUGCCCA